GUCGGCUGCGCGCUGCUCAUCCACGGCGGCGCCGCCACCACCUACUGCUAUUCUCCCCUGAUGCGCUACACGGAUUGUUCUGUUGUGAUGGUUGAGGUGGAGGUGCUAUGCUGGACUACUUCCUCUCCAUCUCUAAUCGCUUCCCGUCUACAUUCUUUUAUAUAUAACUUCCGGUCAGAUCUCUAGCCGCCAGACCCUAACCAAGGAUGGGAGUAGUGUGAGCGUAUUUGCAAUUUUGCUUCGCUGCCUGUAAACGCUCAACUCAAUGCACUAGGAAGAAUCAUAUCUUUUUUUGCCGUAGUAUCUGGGGAUGUUUUGGGAAUAGAACAAGAAUUGAUUGUUUCUUACUUUUCAUUCCAGCAAUUCUCCUGUACAAAUAAGAUAUAACCACUGAGUUUACAAUGACAGCAAAAUAGGCUGCAUUAUUUAGAUUAACAUAUAAUUGUGAAUUGGUUCUAGUUAAAAAUGUAAAGUAUUAGUUCCUUUGGGGCAGUUAAGUUUGAUUGGAUAAUCUGAUUUUACUGAUAGAUGGUAAAAAAAGCAUGUUUUUCUUUGUUUAAUAUUCACCCUGGUAUCUCGAGUGCCUUUUAACCAGAAUUUGGACACAGGAUAUUAUUUGUCCUUUUCCACUUAUUUUUUCAACAAUGGGUGUUGAUAUAUAUGGUCAAGGUUUACUAGAAUAGCACACUGAUAUAUACCAACAAUAUGUAACUUGGGAUUAAGUUUGGAGAAAAUACAACACCUGGGUGGUCCAGGUAGCUUGUUAGUAGUUACCACUGUAAUGUAUUCGUUGCAUAGCCUGAAGCUUUUUAUUCUUUGGCAUUCUGGUUUAGUGUUGAUUAGACUAGGAAAUCAAGAUGUCAAUAUACAUAAAGGCAUGAUUUUCAAACUCUGCUGGCCUUUUAGGAUUAUGAUACAUUGAAACAGAGGAUAAUGCCUGCCCUUGAUAUAUUUUCUUCUCUCCUACGUGUUGUCUCCUAAUUUUUGCUACCUAUUCCAGCUUCGUAUGGAACUUCAUUGUACUUGAUUCUGUGGUGGAUCAGCUUGUUUUAGAAGAGUUGGUUAGACAGAAAUUCUCCAAGCUAGGUUUGUUAUAUUUCCCUUUAUAAAAAAUCGCAUGACUUCGUCAGGCAUAUGCACAUAUAUACUUAGUAUCAGCUCAAACUACACUUGGAUUUUUUGUUUUCACCAAAUCACUGAAUUUUUUGAAAAACGAUGAUUUACAUGGUAGGUCAAAAUGAUAUUCGAUAAGCUUAGGAGUUCCCAGGAGAAACCCUUGGAUUUAGGUGUGAAGCUGAAGAACUACAAGGUCAAGAAAGCAGCAGGUCUUACGCCCCAAACUGCAAGGGCUCGAAGUGGAGCCAGAGAUGA
rnacentral:lncRNA from 1 species